AUCAGAAUUGUCCACUUAACAAAACAGCUCUUUGUUUACUCUGUUUUUAACACAGGUGGAUGCAAAGGGCUCAUAAUUUGUGCAUCUUCUGGUUUUCACUCCGUGUGCUCCAGCUGCAGUCCUGAUAAGAGGCUCAAUCACAACCAUGAUAUUGGUCUUGAAGACUCACUGAUGUCUCACGGAAGACUGAGAAACACAUUCUAUUUAAAGGCAAAUACAGUGUGCUUAACUAUCACUCUCCAUUUCAGUCUGCCAUUCCAGAUUAUCACUGUGACCAUUAGUGUGGACCUGAGGAUAGAUCACCCUCUCAAGCUCUGAAGUCCUCUCAUUCCC
rnacentral:lncRNA from 1 species